rnacentral:rRNA from 1 species
GUGGGGAAUAUUGCGCAAUGGGCGAAAGCCUGACGCAGCAACGCCGCGUGCGGGAUGACGGCCUUCGGGUUGUAAACCGCUUUCAGCAGGGACGAAGGGUUUCUGACGGUACCUGCAGAAGAAGCACCGGCUAACUACGUGCCAGCAGCCGCGGUGAUACGUAGGGUGCGAGCGUUGUCCGGAAUUAUUGGGCGUAAAGAGCUUGUAGGCGGUCCGUUGCGUCGGAAGUGAAAACUCGGGGCUUAACCCCGAGCCUGCUUUCGAUACGGGCGGACUUGAGGGAUGUAGGGGAGAACGGAAUUCCUGGUGGAGCGGUGGAAUGCGCAGAUAUCAGGAGGAACACCAGUGGCGAAGGCGGUUCUCUGGACAUUUCCUGACGCUGAGAAGCGAAAGCGUGGGGAGCAAACAGGCUUAGAUACCCGAGUAGUCC